rnacentral:rRNA from 1 species
GACGAACGCUGGCGGCGUGCUUAACACAUGCAAGUCGAACGGUGACCUCGGAGCUUGCUCCGGGCGAUCAGUGGCGAACGGGUGAGUAACACGUGACCAACCUGCCCCUAGCUCUGGGAUAACCCCGGGAAACCGGAGCUAAUACCGGAUACGAGACCGAGCGGCAUCACACGGUCUGGAAAGUUUUCGGUCUAGGGAGUGGGGUCGGCGGCCUAUCAGCUUGUUGGUGGGGUAACGGCCCACCAAGGCGACGACGGGUAGCCGGCCUGAGA